GCUCCGUUGGUGAACCAGCGGAGGGAUCAUUAGAGAGUCUAAAAACUCCCAAACCCACUGCAAACCUACCUAUACCACUGCUUCGGCAGGCUGUCCCAGGGCGGGACCGCGGCCGCGAGGCGCCUGCCGAGGGUACCAAACUCGUUUUUAGCGGUCUUCUGAGUACUAUAAAAUAAUUAAAACUUUCAACAACGGAUCUCUUGGCUCUA
rnacentral:misc_RNA from 1 species